UACGUAGGGGGCGAGCGUUGUCCGGAAUUACUGGGCGUAAAGGGUGCGUAGGCGGCUUUGUAAGUCAGAUGUGAAAUCCCACGGCUUAACUGUGGUAAGCAUUUGAAACUGCAAGGCUUGAGUACAGGAGAGGAGAGUGGAAUUCCUAGUGUAGCGGUGAAAUGCGUAGAUAUUAGGAGGAAUACCAGUGGCGAAGGCGACUCUCUGGACUGUAACUGACGCUGAUGCACGAAAGCGUGGGGAGCAAACA
rnacentral:rRNA from 1 species